rnacentral:rRNA from 1 species
AUCUUUGAACGCACCUUGCGCCCUUUGGUAUUCCGAGGGGCAUGCCUGUUUGAGUGUCAUUAAAAUAUCAACCUUGCUCGCUUUGACCGGCUUGAGUUAGGGUUGGAUGUGAGGGUCUUUGCUGGCUUCCUUCAGUGGAUGGACUGCUCCCUUUAAAUGCAUUAGUGGGAUCUCUUGUGGACCGUCACUUGGUGUGAUAAUUAUCUAUGCCAUCUUGACUUUGAAGCAAACUGAUGGGAACCUGCUUAUAACCGUCCUUUCAGGACAACUCUUGACAUUUUGACCUCAAAUCAGGUAGGACUACCCGCUGAACUUAAGCAUAUCAAUAAGCGGAGGAAAAGAAACUAACAAGGAUUCCCCUAGUAACUGCGAGUGAACCGGGAAAAGCUCAAAUUU